rnacentral:rRNA from 1 species
UGGGGAAUUUUGGACAAUGGGGGCAACCCUGAUCCAGCCAUGCCGCGUGAGUGAAGAAGGCCUUCGGGUUGUAAAGCUCUUUCGGACGGAACGAAAUGGUUAUGGUGAAUAUCCAUGACUGAUGACGGUACUGUAAGAAGAAGCACCGGCUAACUACGUGCCAGCAGCCGCGGUAAUACGUAGGGUGCGAGCGUUAAUCGGAAUCACUGGGCGUAAAGGGUGCGUAGGCGGCUUCUUAAGUCUGGUGUGAAAGCCCAGGGCUCAGCUCUGGAAGUGCACUAGAUACUGGGGAGCUUGAGUACCGGAGGGGAGAGUGGAAUUCCUGGUGUAGCGGUGAAAUGCGUAGAUAUCAGGAGGAAUACCGGUGGCGAAAGCGACUCUCUGGACGGUUACUGACGCUGAGGCACGAAAGCGUGGGGAGCAAACAGGAUUAGAUACCCCUGUAGUCCCUGAGCGGGCUGGCAAGGCGCAU